rnacentral:rRNA from 1 species
GGGGUGCUCGAGUGGCGAACGGGUGAGUAACACGUGAGUAACCUGCCCUUGACUUUGGGAUAACUUCAGGAAACUGGGGCUAAUACCGGAUAGGAGCUCCUGCUGCAUGGUAGGGGUUGGAAAGUUUCGGCGGUUGGGGAUGGACUCGCGGCUUAUCAGCUUGUUGGUGGGGUAGUGGCUUACCAAGGCUUUGACGGGUAGCCGGCCUGAGAGGGUGACCGGCCACAUUGGGACUGAGAUACGGCCCAG